AUGAAAAUCAUCAACUGGAACUACCCGGGGCUCGGGAAUGGCCCGACAGUUCGUUCUCUCCUCGAACUGGGGAGAGUGGAGGAUCCCGACGUACUAUUUUUGGCAGAGACAAGGCUAACAGAGAAGGAAUUCGAGAGAUUUCGCUGGAUGUUAGGGCUCGCUAAUACAGUGGCGGAGCUAGGAAUAAAGCAAACCCCGGGCCUAAUUUUUUUUCUCGGCAACAUGGAAAAACUUUGGCCUUAA
rnacentral:rRNA from 1 species